CCCUUAGAUGCUCUGGGCCGCACGCGCGCUACACUGGUCGAUGCAACGAGUUUCUUUCCUUGGCCGACAGGCCUGGGCAAUCUUUGAACAUCGAUCGUGAUCGGGAUAGAUUCUUGUAAUUUUUGAUCUUAAACGAGGAAUUCCUAGUAAACGCAAGUCAUCAGCUUGCAUUGAUUACGUCCCUGCCCUUUGUACGCACCGCCCGUCGCACCUACCGAUUGAAUGGUCCGGUGAAAUCUCCGGACUGGCGUGAGUCGGAGCAAUCUGACAAACACCGGAAAGUUGAUUAAACCUUACCAUUUAGAGGAAGGUGAAGUCGUAACA
rnacentral:rRNA from 1 species